rnacentral:rRNA from 1 species
AUUCCAGCUCCAAUAGCGUAUAUUAAAGUUGCUGCAGUUAAAAAGCUCGUAGUUGGAUUUGUGGCGCGGCCGUCCGGCACGGAUCCUUCAUUGGGCCCGUUUGUCCGGUUUUUCGGCCGCCCCAUUCUCGGGUAGUGUGUCGCUGGCAUUAGGUUGUCGGCUUCUUCACGCCCGUCGUUUACUGUGAAAAAAUUAGAGUGUUCAAAGCAGGCUUAGGCCGUUGGAUACAUUAGCAUGGAAUAAUGAGAUAGGGCCACGACGGUCUAUUUUGUUGGUUUGCACGUUGUGGUAAUGAUUAACAGGAACGGUUGGGGGUAUUCGUAUUCAAUUGUCAGAGGUGAAAUUCUUGGAUUUAUGGAAGACGAACUACUGCGAAAGCAUUUACCAAGGAUGUUUUCAUUG